rnacentral:rRNA from 1 species
UGGGGAAUAUUGCACAAUGGAGGAAACUCUGAUGCAGCGACGCCGCGUGAGUGAAGAAGUAUUUCGGUAUGUAAAGCUCUAUCAGCAGGGAAGAAAAUGACGGUACCUGACUAAGAAGCACCGGCUAAAUACGUGCCAA